GCCGGUGUGAUGGAAUUGGCAGACGUACGGGACUCAAAAUCCCGCGGUAGCGAUACCGUGCGGGUUCGACCCCCGCCACCGGCACCA
rnacentral:tRNA from 1 species